AUGAUUUGGAAAGUCUGGGGUCUAUCCCCGCGAAGCAGAAAAGACGAGGCUUUGGUGAGAGCAGCUGCAGGGCAGUUCUCGAGGCUGCAGACGUGCACAGGAGUGGUGAACAGAUCUACACACCCAUCUUACCACCGUCCAGCAGGGCCCGCCUUCAUGACUGUCACUGGGUUACUAAGUAACGAAAGAGAAGAGUCCCUGGACACACUGACUAUAACCGAGGAAUGGAGCUGGGUCUUUCUCUUCCUCCUGUCAGUAGCUGCAGGUGUCUACUCCCAAGUUAAGCUGCAGCAGUCUGGGGCUGAGCUGUUAAAACCUGGUGCUUCAGUGAAGUUGUCCUGCAAGACUUCUGGUUACAUCUUCAGCAAUAGCUAUAUGAGUUGGUUCAAGGAGAUACCUGGACAGAGUAUUGAGUGGAUUGGACAGAUUUUUGCUGGAUAUGGUGGUACUGGCGAUAAUCAGAAGUUCAAGAGCAAGUCCAUACUUACUGUAUACAUAUCUUCCAGCACAGCAUACAUGGAUCUCAGCAGCCUGACAUCUGAGGACACUGCAGUCUGUUUUUGUGCAAGGCACAGUCUUAGAACAAAUUGGUACUUCAAUUUAUGGGACUCUGUGAUAGGAGUGCUAAGAGGAAAACUCAGCUCUGAAUGCCUCAAAACAGAAACUGGAGAUAGUGUACAAGAGCAGCUUGAUAGUUCAUUUAAUGUUCUAAAAUAA